rnacentral:rRNA from 1 species
UACGUAGGGACCAAGCGUUGUUCGGAUUUACUGGGCGUAAAGGGCGCGUAGGCGGCGCGACAAGUCACUUGUGAAAUCUCUGGGCUUAACUCAGAACGGCCAAGUGAAACUGUUGUGCUAGAGUGCAGAAGGGGCAAUCGGAAUUCUCGGUGUAGCGGUGAAAUGCGUAGAUAUCGUCAAGAACACCGAUAGUGAAGACAGCUCACUAAGCUCAAACUGACGCUGAGGCACGAAAGUGUGGGGAUCAAACAGG